rnacentral:rRNA from 1 species
GCUCAGCGACUGAGGAGACAUUACCUAGAGUUGCGGGCUUUGCCUGCCAUCUCUUACCCAUGUCUUUUGAGUACCUUACGUUUCCUCGGCGGGUCCGCCCGCCGACUGGACAAUUUAAACCACUUGCAGUUGCAAUCAGCGUCUGAAAAAACUUAAUAGUUACAACUUUCAACAACGGAUCUCUUGGUUCUGGCAUCGAUGAAGAACGCAGCGAAAUGCGAUAAGUAGUGUGAAUUGCAGAAUUCAGUGAAUCAUCGAAUCUUUGAACGCACAUUGCGCCCCUUGGUAUUCCAUGGGGCAUGCCUGUUCGAGCGUCAUUUGUACCUUCAAGCCUUGCUUGGUGUUGGGUGUUUGUCUCGCCUCUGCGCGUAGACUCGCCUCAAAACAAUUGGCAGCCGGCGUAUUGAUUUCGGAGCGCAGUACAUCUCGCGCUUUGCACUCAGAACGACGACGUCCAAAAGUACAUUUUUACACUCUUGACCUCGGAUCAGGUAGGGAUACCCGCUGAACUUAAGCAUAUCAAUAAGCGGACGAA